rnacentral:rRNA from 1 species
AGUGAACGCUGGCGGUAGGCCUAACACAUGCAAGUCGAACGGCAGCACCGUAAGAGCUUGCUCUUACGGGUGGCGCGUGGCGGACGGGUGCCGAAUACAUCGGAAUCUACUUUUUCGUGGGGGCUAACGUAGGGAAACUUACGCGAAUACCGCAUACGACCUACGGGUGAAAGCAGGGGAUCUUCUGACCUUGCGCGAUUGAAUGAGCCGAUGUCGGAUUAGCUAGUUGGCGGGGUAAAGGCCCAACAAGGCGACGAUCCGUAGCUGGUAUGAGAGGAUGAUCAGGCAGACGGGAACUGAGAAACAGCCCAGACUCCUACGGGAGGACGCAGUGGAGAAUAUUGGACAAUGGGGGAAAGCGUGAUCCAGCCAUACCGCGUAGGUGAAGAAGCCCUUCGGGUGGUAAAGCCCUUUUGUUGGGAAAGAAAAGCAGCAGGUUAAUACCCCGCUGUUCUGACGGUACCCAAAGAAUAAGCACCGGCUAACUUCGUG